UACGUAGGGGGCAAGCGUUGUCCGGAUUUAUUGGGCGUAAAGAGCGUGUAGGCGGCUUUACAGGUCCGUUGUGAAAACUCGAGGCUCAACCUCGAGACGCCGGUGGAAACCGUAAGGCUAGAGUCCGGAAGAGGAGAGUGGAAUUCCUGGUGUAGCGGUGAAAUGCGCAGAUAUCAGGAGGAACACCAAUAGCGAAGGCAGCGCGCUGGGACGGUACUGACGCUAAGGCGCGAAAGCGUGGGGAGCGAACAGG
rnacentral:rRNA from 1 species